GAUGAAGAACGUAGCGAAAUGCGAUAAGUAAUGUGAAUUGCAGAAUUCAGUGAAUCAUCGAAUCUUUGAACGCACAUUGCGCCCGCCAGUAUUCUGGCGGGCAUGCCUGUUCGAGCGUCAUUUCAACCAUCAAGCCCCCCCGGCUUGUGUUGGGGACCUGCGGCUGCCGCAGGCCCUGAAAAGCAGUGGCGGGCUCGCUGUCACACCGAGCGUAGUAGAUCUCAUCUCGCUCAGGGCGUGCUGCGGGUUCCGGCCGUUAAACCACCUUCAUAACCCAAGGUUGACCUCGGAUCAGGUAGGAAGACCCGCUGAACUUAAGCAUAUCAAUAAGCGGAGGA
rnacentral:misc_RNA from 1 species